rnacentral:rRNA from 1 species
GCGGCAAACGGGUGAGUAAUAUCUGGGGAUCUGCCCAAAAGAGGGGGAUAACUACUAGAAAUGGUAGCUAAUACCGCAUAAAGUUGAAAAACCAAAGUGGGGGACCUUUUUAAGGCCUCAUGCUUUUGGAUGAACCCAGACGAGAUUAGCUUGUUGGUAAGGUAAAAGCUUACCAAGGCAACGAUCUCUAGCUGGUCUGAGAGGAUAACCAGCCACACUGGAACUGAGACACGGUCCAGACUCCUACGGGAGGCAGCAGUGGGGAAUAUUGCACAAUGGGCGAAAGCCUGAUGCAGCUAUGCCGCGUGUAUGAAGAAGGCCUUAGGGUUGUAAAGUACUUUCAGCGGGGAGGAAAGAAAUAAAACUAAUAAUUUUAU